UGUUUAUGCUACUGCAGUAGGUUUUGAUCGGGGUUGCAGGGUUAUUAUAGGCGAGGGGCUGCAUAUUUGACAAUUUAGAAGUCAAUUACGCACUCGAAGAUUUUCAACCGGUUGGUGUUAUUUUUUGUAACUUCUUAAGCAAUAUCAACUGCAUAUAUGCCAGCAGAAACUGGACGGGGAUGAGUAUAACUUGAACCGCUAGACCCUGAACUUUGCAACAUGCUAACUGAAUAUGAAAUUCAUUUAUUCCUUAGGUUAUUUUCUUAGCCACGUUGCAACUGUGCAGGUUGGUAUGCACUUCGUAUAUGGGAAGCUGAGUUUUUGUUUGUCCAUUAAUUAGUUGGAUUGGUUUCUGUUAUGAAUUGCAUGUUGGGAAUCCAAAUUUUGUGUUUGAAGGCAAAACUAUACAAAGAAUGGAACUUUUGGUACUAACCACAUUGAAGUGGAGAAUGCUAGCUUAUACACCUUGCACAUACAUCGAUUACUUUGUAAGAAAGAUGAAUGACGAUCAAUCCCAUCAGAAUGUUUUGUGAUUAAUCCAAUUCAUGAUUAUUGAAUCCUGCAAUAGUAUCACCAUCACAUGAGGAGGAGGUGUGGCGCCACUUAUAGCACUUGGACGAACUAAUGAUGAGCACGGGCAAUGAAUCAUCUAGUACCUCAAGAUGAAUUAGCACAGGCAGGGCUCUCCGAUGAAGACAUUUUUGCUGGAAGAGUGACUGAUGAGUAGAGGAUCUUUACGAAGAAGCAAAUUCAGAGGGCAAGGAAAUUCUUUUAUGAGGUAGAAAAAGGUGUCAUAGAACUGAGCUCUGUCAGUAGAUGGCCGAGGAGAGGAAAAAGAGCUUGAACAACGUUCAUCAUAAACUGAAGGUAUGUUCUGUGUCUAAGAGCACAAACUGUUUUAGUUUA